UGCCCCAACUAAUCAUUCCUUCAUUUUUGGCUCAUAAAAGUACAGGAAGUCUUUAGUAAAAGUCUACUGCCAGCUAUUGCCAUAAGUGUUAGGAUACUUGAACAAUAGCUUUCAAAUUUAGUUCUUUUUUUUUUUUUUUUUUUAGAUGAAUAUUGUUUUGUCGCCCAGGCUGGAGUUCAGUGGCACGAUCAUGGUUCACUGCAACCUCCACCUCCUGAGUUCAAGUGAUUCUGCUGCCUUGGCCUCCUGAGUAGCUGGGAUUAUAGUCAUGCAUCACCACACC
rnacentral:lncRNA from 1 species